GGACUACGGGGGUAUCUAAUCCCUUUCGCGCCCCUAGCCUUCAUCCCUUACUGUCAGAACUGUCCUCGUAAGAUGCCUUCGCUGUUGUUAGUCCGUCUGGGAUUAACACAUUUUACCGCUACUCCAAACGUACUUCUUACGUCUUCCAGUCUCUAGCUUAACAGUACUUCUUGCCCGCUCCAUAUUUAAGACAUGGAAUUUCACAAGAAACUUACUAAGCAAGCUACGGAUGUUUUAGACCCAAUAAUAAUGGCUGCGACUUGGACCGCGGGUAUUACCGCGGCGGCUGGCACCCGUCUUACCCAGUCCUUAUUCGCCAAACUUUUUACAUUUGGCAAAAGCUUUUCAUAUGAAAAGCACUCUGACUCAAUCUGUCACGCUUGCGCGCAUUGCAGAAGAUUCCUAACUGCUGCCCCCCAUAGG
rnacentral:rRNA from 1 species